CUGUAUCGAAAAUCCGACUACCCCCCAGUGACUCAGGUAACUGGUAAUGUCAAAUAUGACAUUUGGUAGAAAAUGCAUGAAACUAGCAGCACUUAUGAAUCUGUUAUUUUCUUUUAACAAUCUGCUCCUAUAGUUACCGUUGCUUCUCCUGGUUACUAUCACUCAUUUUUGAAUAAUAAAAAAAUACAGUCGACAAAUUCCGGAAAUUAUAGGGAUGAUAUCAAGGAGCGUAAUAAUUGUAUAUAGUGUCAUCAACGUUGGUCCAUCGUGUGUGAUACGGCGAAAGCUUCAAAGUUCUUUAUAGGUUUGGAAAUUUUCGAAUGGGAUUCAUCAUAACAGAUUGACAAAGUUCACGUACUAGCCAGUCGACAGGAACCUUUGUUUUUUUCAUGCACGACGUGGUGAUUGUAAGUCUUCUGAUUGAAUCUGGUUAAUGAACAGGUGCAGUAUUGUCCUAGCAGUGUUUCAGUAAAUCAGCCAAAAUCUCUUAUUUAGCGACUUUAAAAAAACAUAUUUUUACUAGAACGAUGUAUAUUGGUCGGGCGAUGGCUCCUCAAAAGGAAACCUGUGAUCCAUUCGUUUGUACGAAAAGGGGCUGUGGCUAGUGUUUAAAUGGGCGGCAGCGACUAAUGACAUGUAAAAUAUGAUGCUGAAAAUAUUGCCAUUGUACGGGACUAGGAAGUAGACUGAAACUAAAGCAAAGACAAUCCAGGCAUUCCGGUCUCUAUACUUAGUUUCGACGAAGCUGUCACGGAAGCGAUGUGCAAUUUUCAUCGUCAUUACUAUAAGGGCCAAGAUAGGCGCAGAUCUAAAAACAAAUGGAGGGAGCAGUAAUAAGAAUUUAAAUAAAAUUAGUAGAACAUUUGGUUUGAAAAUAAAACAAAUUGUAUUGUAUUAACUAUCA